CCUGGGCUUGACACGUACGUAGUAGUGAAGGGAAACCGGAACGAGCCUUCGGGCAGCGUAGACAGGUGCUGCAUGGCUGUCGUCAGCUCGUGUCGUGAGAUGUUGGGUUAAGUCCCGCAACGAGCGCAACCCGUGUUGCUAGUUACAAGUGUCCAGCGAGACUGCCGGUAACAAGCCGGAGGAAGGUGCGGAUGAUGUCAAGUCAGCAUGGCCUAUAUGUCCAGGGCUACACACACGCUUCAAUGGCUGGUACAAAGAGAAGCGAAAGGGAGACCUGAAGCGAAUCUCAUCAAAGCCAGUCAUAGUUCGGAUUGCAGGCUGCAACUCGCCUGCAUGAAGUCGGAGUUGCUAGUAACCGCAGGUCAGCAAUACUGCGGUGAAUACGUUCCCGGGCCUUGUACACAC
rnacentral:rRNA from 1 species